rnacentral:rRNA from 1 species
UGCUUGUACGGCGAGUGAAGCGGCAAAAGCUCAAAUUUGAAAUCUGGUACCUUCGGUGCCCGAGUUGUAAUUUGGAGAGGGCAACUUUGGGGCCGUUCCUUGUCUAUGUUCCUUGGAACAGGACGUCAUAGAGGGUGAGAAUCCCGUGUGGCGAGGAGUGCGGUUCUUUGUAAAGUGCCCUCGAAGAGUCGAGUUGUUUGGGAAUGCAGCUCUAAGUGGGUGGUAAAUUCCAUCUAAAGCUAAAUAUUGGCGAGAGACCGAUAGCGAACAAGUACAGUGAUGGAAAGAUGAAAAGAACUUUGAAAAGAGAGUGAAAAAGUACGUGAAAUUGUUGAAAGGGAAGGGCAUUUGAUCAGACAUGGUGUUUUGUGCCCUCUGCUCCUUGUGGGUAGGGGAAUCUCGCAUUUCACUGGGCCAGCAUCAGUUUUGGUGGCAGGAUAAAUCCAUAGGAAUGUAGCUUGCCUCGGUAAGUAUUAUAGCCUGUUGGGAAUACUGCCAGCUGGGACUGAGGACUGCGACGUAAGUCAAGGAUGCUGGCAUAAUGGUUAUAUGCCGCCCGUCUUGAAACACGGACCA